rnacentral:rRNA from 1 species
UACGGGGGGGAGCAAGCGUUGUUCGGAUUUACUGGGCGUAAAGGGCGCGUAGGCGGCCAGCACAAGUCAGUUGUGAAAUCUCCGAGCUUAACUCGGAAAGGUCAACUGAUACUGUGCGGCUAGAGUGCGGAAGGGGCAACUGGAAUUCUUGGUGUAGCGGUGAAAUGCGUAGAUAUCAAGAGGAACACCUGCGGCGAAGGCGGGUUGCUGGGCCGACACUGACGCUGAGGCGCGAAAGCUAGGGGAGCAAACGGG